rnacentral:lncRNA from 1 species
GUUCUCGUGGUGGUGGAUAAGUCUCACGAGAUCUGAUGGUUUUAUAAAGGGGAGUUUUCCUGCACAAGUUCUCUUCUCUUGUCUGCCGCCAUGUGAUAUGUGCACUUCACCUUCUGCCAUGAUUGUGAGGUCUCCCCAGCCACGUGAAACUAGUUUUAGGAGUUUUCUACAUAUUAAGGAUACUAAUUCCUGAUCACAUACACAACUUGCAACUAUUUUCUCCCAUCUAGGUCUCUCUCUGUCACCCAGGCCUCAGUGCAGUGGUGCAAUCAUGGCUCACUACAGCCUCGACCUCCCAGGCUCAAGUGAUCCUCCCACCUCCAGUCUCCCAAGUAGCUGGGACUAUAGGCACAUGCCACCACACCCUGUUUCACCAUGUUGGCUAGGCUGAUCUCAAACUCCUUGGGCUCAAGCGAUCCUCCCACCUUGGCUUCCCAAAGUGCUGGAAUUACAGGAGUCUCGCUGUGUCACCCAGGCUGGAGUGCAGUGGUGUGAUCUUGGCUUACUGCAACCUCUGCCUCCCAGGUUCAAGUGAUUCUCCUGCCUCAGCCUCCCAAGUACCUGGGACUACAGAUCUUUAGAUAAGCACUCUUUCAACCAAAUGCCAAUCAGAAAAUCUUUGAAUCCACCUGUGAGCUGGAAGCCCCGCUGUGCUUUGUGUUGUCCUGCCUUUUCGGACCAAUGUAAAUCUCACAUGUACUGAUUGAUGCCUACAUCUCCUUAAAACGUAUAAAAUCAAGCUGUAACCCAACCACCUUGGGCAUGUGUUCUGAGGACCUCUUGAGGCUGUGUCACUGGUCAU